UUACUCCAGUGGUACAUGCACUUGAUUCUGAUUGCACAGGCGUUGGUUCAAAUCCUGGU
rnacentral:tRNA from 1 species